CCUGCUUGAUAGAUUCUCACACGUAGCCUGGCAAACGUGGCUAAACCGGAGAUUCCUCAUUGCCAAGUGCCCCGGAAACCCCUAAGACUUCCUGAAAACAGAACUUUGGUACAGUCAAGAGAAAGUACCGGUUUACCAUGUACAUGCUUGGUACCCAUGGAGGUCAGAAGUCACUGGAUCCCUGGAUCUGGAAUUACAGAUGGCUGGGAAUCACCAUGGUCAGACUGCAUCCUGUGUGAAUACAAAGUUUCAUGUCCUUCUGUGGUGGAUAGUUUCCGUUGUCAAUCUGGUUGGAUUAAUAAGCAGUACAUGAGUGUCUACAAGAGCUUUUCCAGAAAGGCUUAAAUGAGGGGAUGAAGACCUAUCCUGAAUGUGAACAGGUGCCAUCCCCAGAGAUGUGAUUCCAGACUGAAUAUAUAAAGAAAAGCGGAAGGAAGCCAGCCUUCCAGCAUUACCCAUUUAUCUGCGGUUUUGGUUUUCUGAACUAUGAACAAGCAACUCCCCGAUGCACAAAUAAGGGCUGUUCUGCUGCCAUGCCUUCCCCACUAUGAUGUGCUUUAUUCCCUGAACCAGGAGCCAAAAUAAACCAUUUUUCCCAGAAA